rnacentral:rRNA from 1 species
GAAUGCUGACAUAAGUAACGAUAAAGCGGGUGAAAAGCCCGCUCGCCGGAAGACCAAGGGUUCCUGUCCAACGUUAAUCGGGGCAGGGUGAGUCGACCCCUAAGGCGAGGCCGAAAGGCGUAGUCGAUGGGAAACGGGUUAAUAUUCCCGUACUUGGUGUUACUGCGAAGGGGGGACGGAGAAGGCUAUGUUGGCCGGGCGACGGUUGUCCCGGUUUAAGCGUGUAGGUGUGUGUUCCAGGUAAAUCCGGUUCACUUUAACACUGAGGCGUGACGACGAGGCACUACGGUGCUGAAGCAACAAAUGCCCUGCUUCCAGGAAAAGCCUCUAAGCAUCAGGUAACACGAAAUCGUACCCCAAACCGACACAGGUGGUCAGGUAGAGAAUACCAAGGCGCUUGAGAGAACUCGGGUGAAGGAACUAGGCAAAAUGGUGCCGUAACUUCGGGAGAAGGCACGCUGACACGUAGGUGAAGUGAUUUACUCAUGGAGCUGAAGUCAGUCGAAGAUACCAGCUGGCUGCAACUGUUUAUUAAAAACACAGCACUGUGCAAACACGAAAGUGGACGUAUACGGUGUGACGCCUGCCCGGUGCCGGAAGGUUAAUUGAUGGGGUCAGCGUAAGCGAAGCUCCUGAUCGAAGCCCCGGUAAACGGCGGCCGUAACUAUAACGGUCCUAAGGUAGCGAAAUUCCUUGUCGGGUAAGUUCCGACCUGCACGAAUGGCGUAAUGAUGGCCAGGCUGUCUCCACCCGAGACUCAGUGAAAUUGAACUCGCUGUGAAGAUGCAGUGUACCCGCGGCAAGACGGAAAGACCCCGUGAACCUUUACUAUAGCUUGACACUGAACAUUGAGCCUUGAUGUGUAGGAUAGGUGGGAGGCUUUGAAGUGUGGACGCCAGUCUGCAUGGAGCCGACCUUGAAAUACCACCCUUUAAUGUUUGAUGUUCUAACGUGGACCCGUAAUCCGGGUUGCGGACAGUGUCUGGUGGGUAGUUUGACUGGGGCGGUCUCCUCCUAAAGAGUAACGGAGGAGCACGAAGGUUGGCUAAUCCUGGUCGGACAUCAGGAGGUUAGUGCAAUGGCAUAAGCCAGCUUGACUGCGAGCGUGACGGCGCGAGCAGGUGCGAAAGCAGGUCAUAGUGAUCCGGUGGUUCUGAAUGGAAGGGCCAUCGCUCAACGGAUAAAAGGUACUCCGGGGAUAACAGGCUGAUACCGCCCAAGAGUUCAUAUCGACGGCGGUGUUUGGCACCUCGAUGUCGGCUCAUCACAUCCUGGGGCUGAAGUAGGUCCCAAGGGUAUGGCUGUUCGCCAUUUAAAGUGGUACGCGAGCUGGGUUUAGAACGUCGUGAGACAGUUCGGUCCCUAUCUGCCGUGGGCGCUGGAGAACUGAGGGGGGCUGCUCCUAGUACGAGAGGACCGGAGUGGACGCAUCACUGGUGUUCGGGUUGUCAUGCCAAUGGCACUGCCCGGUAGCUAAAUGCGGAAGAGAUAAGUGCUGAAAGCAUCUAAGCACGAAACUUGCCCCGAGAUGAGUUCUCCCUGAGACUUAGAGUCUCCUGAAGGAACGUUGAAGACGACGACGUUGAUAGGCCGGGUGUGUAAGCGCAGCGAUGCGUUGAGCUAACCGGUACUAAUGAACCGUGAGGCUUAACCUU